GAUGAACGCUGGCGGCGUGCCUAAUACAUGCAAGUCGAGCGAACAGACGAGGAGCUUGCUCCUCUGACGUUAGCGGCGGACGGGUGAGUAACACGUGGAUAACCUACCUAUAAGACUGGGAUAACUUCGGGAAACCGGAGCUAAUACCGGAUAAUAUAUUGAACCGCAUGGUUCAAUAGUGAAAGACGGUUUUGCUGUCACUUAUAGAUGGAUCCGCGCCGCAUUAGCUAGUUGGUAAGGUAACGGCUUACCAAGGCGACGAUGCGUAGCCGACCUGAGAGGGUGAUCGGCCACACUGGAACGGAGACACGGUCCAGACUCCUACGGGAGGCAGCAGGAGGGAAUCUUCGGCAAUGGGCGAAAGCCUGACGGAGCAACGCCGCGGGAGUGAGGAAGGUCUUGGGAUCGUAAAGCUCUUUUAUUGGGGAAGAAAAAUUGGGAAAGUAUAUAGGCCCGUCUUGACGGUACCUAAUAAAAAAGCCACGGCUAACUCCGUG
rnacentral:rRNA from 1 species